AAGAGUUUGAUCAUGGCUCAGGACGAACGCUGGCGGCGUGCUUAACACAUGCAAGUCGAACGGAAAGGCCCUUCGGGGUACUCGAGUGGCGAACGGGUGAGUAACACGUGGGUGAUCUGCCCUGCACUCUGGGAUAAGCCUGGGAAACUGGGUCUAAUACCGGAUAGGACCACACACUUCAUGGUGAGUGGUGCAAAGCUUUUGCGGUGUGGGAUGAGCCCGCGGCCUAUCAGCUUGUUGGUGGGGUAAUGGCCCACCAAGGCGACGACGGGUAGCCGGCCUGAGAGGGUGACCGGCCACACUGGGACUGAGAUACGGCCCAGACUCCUACGGGAGGCAGCAGUGGGGAAUAUUGCACAAUGGGCGCAAGCCUGAUGCAGCGACGCCGCGUGAGGGAUGACGGCCUUCGGGUUGUAAACCUCUUUCAGUAGGGACGAAGCGAAAGUGACGGUACCUACAGAAGAAGGACCGGC
rnacentral:rRNA from 1 species